UACGUAGGGGGCGAGCGUUGUCCGGAUUUAUUGGGCGUAAAGAGCUCGUAGGCGGUUCGAUAAGUCGGACGUGAAAUCUCCACGCUCAACGUGGAGGGGCCGUUCGAUACUGUCGUGACUCGAGUCCGGUAGGGGAGUGUGGAAUUCCCGGUGUAGCGGUGAAAUGCGCAGAUAUCAGGAGGAACACCGGUGGCGAAGGCGGGUCUCUGGGCAACAACUGACGCUGAGGAGCGAAAGCGUGGGGAGCGAACAGG
rnacentral:rRNA from 1 species